CAACAGGGAUUGCCUUAGUAACUGCGAGUGAAGCGGCAAAAGCUCAAAUUUGAAAUCGGCGUCCUUUGCGGGCAUCGAGUUGUAAUUUGGAGGGAUAACUUCGGUACAGACUACAUCGUAAGUUCCUUGGAACAGGACGUCAUAGAGGGUGAGAAUCCCGUGUCUUGGUGUUUGGCUGUGCCAUGUGAAGUGUCUCCGACGAGUCGAGUUGUUUGGGAAUGCAGCUCAAAAUGGGUGGUAAAUUUCAUCUAAAGCUAAAUAUUGGCGAGAGACCGAUAGCGCACAAGUAGAGUGAUCGAAAGAUGAAAAGCACUUUGAAAAGAGAGUUAAAAAGUACGUG
rnacentral:rRNA from 2 species